UAGGAUGUGAGAGCCGUGAACGCGCACAGCAGCCUGUACAGCGUGCACGAGCUUCAACAAUUAACUUUAAAAUGAGAACGUGCGCGAUGAUUUUUAACGAAAUAAAAUUCUAUAAAAUACACAGUUCUUUAAGUUAAACUCUUAAUAAACCCUAAUGACGUCACGUGAAGGUAGGAGCUAAUGCGACUUAGAAACGGUUUGACAAAAUACAAAAAAAAAUGAAGCAUGACCUGAAAUGUGUGUGUGUGUGUGUAAAGGAAAUAUAUUAAAACUUUUAAAACUAUUAAAGACAGGAAGCACGCGUUAAAGAGAACCCAGAGAACCUGCUCUAGAACCCUGGAGCUCCCGGGGCAGGACGAGGUAUAGAAGUCGACCCACCUGUCUGCCAGACCCUCAGUAAUCCAAAUGAGUGAGGAGGAGGAUGAUGAAGAUGAUGAUGAAGUGAACACAGAUGCUCUCUCUCUCUCUCUCUCUCUCUCUCUCUCUGAGCUCCCCUUUCUCUGAACCUCGUCCUCUUAAA